rnacentral:rRNA from 1 species
GGAGGGUGCAAACGUUUGCUCGGAAUUAUUGGGCGUAAAGCGCACGUAGGCGGACUGAUAAGUCGGAUGUGAAAGCCCUCGGCUCAACCGAGGAAGUGCACUCGAAACUGUCAGUCUUGAGUACGGGAGAGGAUCGCGGAAUUCCCGGUGUAGAGGUGAAAUUCGUAGAUAUCGGGAGGAACACCAGUGGCGAAGGCGGCGAUCUGGACCGAUACUGACGCUGAGGUGCGAAAGCGUGGGGAGCAAACAGGGAUUAGAUACCCUGGUAGUCCACGCUGUAAACGCUGAGUGCUAGAUGUCGCGGGUAUUGACCCCCCCCCUGCGGUGUCGUAGUUAACGCGCUAAGCACUCCGCCUGGGAGUACGGCCGCAAGGCUA